AAAGAAGGUACACCACAUUGUAAAGCUCAUCUUCAUUGACAGGUCUGCUGGCUGCUUCCUGUGGAGCACCAUGAUCUGGCACCAGCAUUGAGGCAGCAUUAGUGUUCAAGGCGCAACAGGAAGAAUAAACUGAUCUCUGAGAAACAGAGCUGAAAUGAACAAGGGGAACUGUGAAGUGAAAUUAUUAAGAUGAAAAGGAUCAGAAGAUUGAGACCAGAGCUGUGUGAUCUGCUGGAAAAGCUCUCCAGCACUAUGUUGUCACUGCAACAAAGAAGUUUCUGCACCCACCCUAGGGCAUCACUGUGUUCCUGUGGGCUCCCUGCUACCUUACUGCUGUGCAGUCAGGUGCACAGUGGGUCAUUUGGCCUCCCUGCUAGCACGUUCCUCCUUGCACUUAUUUCUAUGCGCCUUAAAUAUAGAAGUCUAUCUGCCCACAUUUAUGCCUUGGCUCAAAUUCUUCUCUGCUCUAUGCUUCCUCUUAAUUUUUCUCCACUUCUUCCGCUGGUAUCCUGGAGGACACUUUGCUGAAAAGGCUCACAACAUGUAACAGAAGAGCAGAAACUGACUCCCUCUUCCAUAACUAAAAGGUCUGUGUUUUUUAUCUCUGGCAAAGUCCAAAUACAUUAAUUGUGGCUGUUAAUUAUACUUAAUUAAUGUACAAGGUGAAGUCCAUGGCAGCCCUCUGUGUUUGCCUUUGGUUUUGCAAUCAAGCCCCCAAAACAAUCAUAUGUAUGUAUAUGUAUAUAUAUACACAUAUAUAUGCAGUUGCAUACCUACAAAUAUAUACAUACAUACAUAUGCCUGUGUAUAUAAUGCACAUGCAAUGGAAACCAAGAGUCUCACCUAGAUGAUGUCUGUGUCAGAAAACAGUGAUAAUUAUAUUUGACUUUGUAACCAUGGAUAUUGCUUGCUUUGACUUUUCGUCUCCUUUGCUCAGAUUUUCUCCCUCUGCUGCUGCAUUUUAGGCUUAUAAUAGUUUUCACUGAGUCCACUACACAUCUUUUCUGUGAGUUCAUUAAAAAACAAACCAAAUCUUCCAACUUGUUUUCAAAGCAGAUCAUACAAAAUAAAUCAUGUGUGGAAUAAA